AUUGAACGCUGGCGGCAGGCCUAACACAUGCAAGUCGAACGAGUGGCGGACGGGUGAGUAAUGUCUGGGAAACUGCCUGAUGGAGGGGGAUAACUACUGGAAACGGUAGCUAAUACCGCAUACCAUCGGAUGUGCCCAGAUGGGAUUAGCUAGGAGGUGGGGUAAAGGCUCACCAAGGCGACGAUCCCUAGCGGGUCUGAGAGGAUGACCAGCCCCACUUGAACUGUCACACGGUCCAGAUUCCUAAGGGAGGCAGCAGUGGGGAAUAUUGCGAAAUGGGCGCAAGCCUGAUGCAGCCAUGCCGCGUGUAUGAAGAAGGCCUUCGGGUGGUAAAGUACUUUCAGCGGGGAGGCGUUACCCGCAGAAGAAGCACCGGCUAACUCCGUGCCAGCAGCCGCGGUAAUUC
rnacentral:rRNA from 1 species